GAUGAACGCUAGCGAUAGGCCUUACACAUGCAAGUCGAGGGGCACCACAAAGAAAGUAGCAAUACCUUCUUGGUGGCGACCGGCGCACGGGUGACUAACGCGUAUGCAACCUACCUACUAAUUUGGGAUAGCUCGUUGAAAGACGAAUUAAUACCUUAUAAAACAGGGGAUCCGCAUGGAGAUAUUUGUUAAAGAUUUAUUGGUAGUAGAUGGGCAUGCGUUCCAUUAGUUAGUUGGUGAGGUAAUUGCUCACCAAGACAACGAUGGAUAGGGGAACUGAGAGGUUUGUCCCCCACACUGGAACUGAGACACGGUCCAGACUCCUACGGGAGGCACGCAGUGAGGCAUAUUGGUCAAUGGAGGCAACUCUGAACCAGCCAAGUCGUGUGUAGGAUGACGGCCCUACGGGUUGUAAA
rnacentral:rRNA from 1 species